rnacentral:rRNA from 1 species
UACGUAGGGUGCGAGCGUUGUCCGGAAUUAUUGGGCGUAAAGGGCUCGUAGGCGGUUUGUCGCGUCGGGAGUGAAAACUCAGGGCUUAACCCUGAGCCUGCUUCCGAUACUGGCAGACUAGAGGUAUGCAGGGGAGAACGGAAUUCCUGGUGUAGCGGUGAAAUGCGCAGAUAUCAGGAGGAACACCGGUGGCGAAGGCGGUUCUCUGGGCAUUACCUGACGCUGAGGAGCGAAAGUGUGGGGAGCGAACAGG